rnacentral:rRNA from 1 species
AGUGAACGCUGGCGGUAGGCCUAACACAUGCAAGUCGAACGGCAGCACAGUAAGAGCUUGCUCUUACGGGUGGCGAGUGGCGGACGGGUGAGGAAUACAUCGGAAUCUACUUUUUCGUGGGGGAUAACGUAGGGAAACUUACGCUAAUACCGCAUACGACCUACGUGUGAAAGCAGGGGAUCUUCGGACCUUGCGCGAUUGAAUGAGCCGAUGUCGGAUUAGCUAGUUGGCGGGGUAAAGGCCCACCAAGGCGACGAUCCGUAGCUGGUCUGAGAGGAUGAUCAGCCACACUGGAACUGAGACACGGUCCAGACUCCUACGGGAGGCAGCAGUGGGGAAUAUUGGACAAUGGGCGCAAGCCUGAUCCAGCCAUACCGCGUGGGUGAAGAAGGCCUUCGGGUUGUAAAGCCCUUUUGUUGGGAAAGAGAAGCAGCAGGUUAAUACCCCGCUGUUCUGACGGUACCCAAAGAAUAAGCACCGGCUAACUUCGUG